UUUCUGUGUUGCGAUACAGACACGCAUAAGCCUACAGAUUUUAUACAGACAUUUAGUGUAAUACAGAUAUUAUACAGAUAUCUGAUAUUAUAAAUACAUAAUCGUUUUUCCAGUAUACACAAAAAAAAACGAACAGAAAAAACGAGAGUCACUGUAGCCGUUGCUGGAAAAAGUGAACUACGAGAGUGAAAUCUUGACAAAAUGUUCAACCUUAUCUAUACCCAAGGAGAUGGCAGCCCUAUCUAAACUCUACACGUUUGACAGUAGCCACCAUAUCGGGGCUUUAUUUAAAAAUAAAGCCCCGAGGUAGGCGCCCAGCAAAACUUCCAUAUACUUUUCACUUUAGUCGGGAAGACUCUUCACUCAUUCAACAUAGAAAGAGAUAGCAUGUUGCCAUUCCCCUGUCUAUACCAUUAGAGUGUGAGUGAAAUAGCAUGCGAAUGAAUCAAAAUAUGGCGAACAUGGAACAAACAGCAUUAGAGUGAAGAGUUUUUCCAAUUUAUGAACGCGCGUUGAUGCAAAUGCAUUUGCACACAAUGUCAUUAAAAAUUAAAAAACUCGAUACUAAACAAUCGAUUUCUGAAUAUUUUAGAAGAAGGCCUUCAAACGAUUGUAACAAAGACAACCGACAGCUUUCUGCCGAUGGAAUAGAUGAAAAUAACCAUUCUUCUAAUAAGCUUCCGGAGAACGAAAAACGAGGAUAUGCCAACUCUUCAUCAGAUAACGAAUCCAACAUGGAAUAUGAUACUGACACUGAAGUCAGCAAAAAGAAAAGAAAAGAGUCUUCACUGCGAGCUAGAAAGCAAUACCAAAGAGCUGUCCAGAGGUACACCUCGUGUUGGGAGACAAAGCUAAAGUGGCUUUCGAAGAGCGUCAAAGGAGACCAGUUUGCUUAUUGUACCAUCUGUGGAAAAAAUAUUAGCUGUAGCGGAGGGUUUCCCGAUUUAAAAAAAACAUAGUGAAAGGAAAAGCCACGUAAACCUGAAAAAAACGUUAAACAUUCCUUCAUCAAUGAACAAAUUUGUUAACACGUCUAGUACUAGAGAUGCAGAAAUACAAAUCUGUUCUUGGGCAGCUGAAACCAACACAGCUCCAAAAACGAUUGAAGAAUUUGUCAAACUCUCAAAGAAGAUUUUCAGUGAUUCUAAAACAGCGACCCAACUAACUCUUGGACGAACAAAAGUUUCGGCUAUUAUAAGAAAUGUAUUAGGUGAAACAGCUCACGAUGAAAUUAAAAAUCUGAUCAGAAACAGCUAUUUCAGCCUUAUAAUCGAUGAAUCAACAGAUAUAGCGACUCGCAAGACAUUAGUUAUUAUAGCAAGAACAUAUGUAUGGAAUUGUGAUGCCCCGCUAGUACGAGGUUAUUUUUAUCAUUCAUGCAAACUCGCAGAAGCGCUGCCACUAUAUUCAACGUAAUCGUACAAAAACUAGAGCAGGAUGAAAUACCUUUCAAAAAAAAUUUGGUUGGGUUUGGAGCAGACGGAGCCAAUGUGAUGCUAGGUGGCAACAAUUCAGUUGCAAGUCGCCUUAAAACUGAAUGUCCGAAUAUUUUCAUUCUAAAAUGCAUCUGCCAUUCAAUUGCAUUAUGCGCUUCAUAUUCCUGCAAGAAUAUACCAAUCGAGAUAGAGUCAUUAUGCAGAGCAAUUUACACAUUUCUCAGUACCAGUCCAC